UGGGGAAUUUUCCGCAAUGGGCGGAAGCCUGACGGAGCAAUGCCGCGUGGAGGUGGAAGGCCUACGGGUCGUCAACUUCUUUUCUCGGAGAAGAAACAAUGACGGUAUCUGAGGAAUAAGCAUCGGCUAACUCUGUGCCAG
rnacentral:rRNA from 1 species